AGUCUCCGACCGCCAGCGGAGAGACUCUUGGCUCAGUGCUUCUCCGCUUGGGGACAAUCAACUCAAUUGUUGCUUUCCUAAUCCUAAACUAGACUAAAUUGCAAAUAUCUUCAAUGUGUGUGUGCUCGCUAUGGAAUUUGGGGAUUUUCUCAGGAUCUGACAUAUCAUCAAUUAGUGCAGACAAUAUAUCAUGGAUAUAUCUUAAAUGUGUGUGUGCACGCACUUUUUAAUUUGGGGCAUAUUUCUCACAUGCAUGACAUAUCACCAAUUACUUGAGACAAUACACCAGGGAUAGUUCUUAUAAAAUCUCCAUAGAUUCACCCAAAAAAUCCAGAGCAACUCACUAUGAUUCUAGAAUGGAGAUACAUGUUUUAGUUAAAAAUCAUUUGUAAAGUCCAGUUUUACAGUCAUGCUUUUCUGUUCGGAUAUUACAUGAAUAUUAUUCAGAAUGUAGUUUAUUGCAAUUUGUGAGGUUUUCAUAAAUACAAUUUUCCAUGGACCUUCUCUACUAUAUAUAGGCGGUCAUGCUUUUGUUUCACACAAUUUCAUCUUACAAAGUUUCUUAUACAUAUACUUAAUCGAAUAUGGAUAGUUCUUCGUCACAAUCUGUGGGGUUCACUAAUUUAAAAACCUCACGAACUCAUCGACAAGUGUGGCUGCAAAUACCAGGAGUAGAAAUAGACCAACAAGUUGUCGAGGUUGGUAUGCCUGGCUGUCCGCUGAGAAAAGAUGCCGAGUACCUAGAGAAGCAGCUUAUGGCUUGACGGCAAAAGAGUGCUGCAAUUGUCUCUGAAAAUUUAACUAAACCUCAAUCGAGUGGCCAAGGGUAUUGUGCCUGUUUGAUCAAUGAGAACAAGGUGGAAUCUGGACCAUCCUCACGAAGGGUGUCACCUGGUAUGUUGCAGAUGGGGUCCGGACAUUCCUGUAUUAUUGAUCAAGUGUGAACACCAGCUGUACUAGCUUUAGGUUACAUUGUCAAGGGGCGUGUCAACGUAGACCACUCGGAUUUUGGCCAAGGCAAAUAAAGACAUAGAUCCCAUGGGGAAAACUUCAGCAGCUGUGACCAGGUUAUGAACAUAGGAGUUGUCCACAUGUCUUGAUGACUUGUCUGUGUAUUUCGAGGUGCUCCAACUACCUCGCCACCUUCCCACUGUCAUAGGUUAUGUAUUAUGAAGACGAGUUUACUCUGAGCCCUCCUCCUAAGUUAUGAUUUGGCAUGACAUGUAUCUUGUUUCCUGCACUUCCUCUCUAGCAUUUGGAGAUAUGUGCACGUUGAAAUAUUGAGGAAUUUGGGAAUUGGCCAAGUCAAACAACUCAAAUUUUCUCACUGUAUGUCCCAGUGUUUGAGCUCACUUUCAAUACAGUUUUGAGUUUCAGAAUUUUUGUUGAUUUUCAUUAGGGAUAGCUCCUGGGACUAAACAUAGUCCAUACAACUUUUUUUUUGACUUACCCGUGUCAUUGAGAGCUACCGCUGCCAGGGCUCAGCAAGCUCUCGAUCGGAAGACUCAUGGCCAAUUAGCUAUGUGUAUUGUGUGUUGCAUACCGUCCUUACAUGGUUGGGCAUGAGCCACAUUCAAAGUUGCUCUUUAAA